UACCUAUUAAUUGUACGUGUGUCUAUAGGGCAAAGCCAGUCCAAUUCAGAGCUCAAAACUGGAGAAGAAGUAUCAAAACAACCGCCGUGGCUCAGUCAAGUUCACCGUCGACUCGACCCAGUAUGAGAUUAGCUUUAAAGAAAUGCGUCAGAGAAAUUUAUCUACAGGCCGUAAGAGGCGGGUUAGACGCCGCCCUAAAUAUGAACCAUCUCCAAAUGGAGGAUUACGUGGAAUAACCUCCCAAUUAAAAAACAUGUUCAGCCCUUCAACAAAUAAAACUCCAGAGUGGCAGUUUAAAGGGAAAGAUCAGUGGUACACCUACAAUA